CUCCCUCGCCCGCGUCGCCGGCACCUCUCCAUUGGCUCCGUCGCCGUCGCCAAGAUCAAAUUUUUAUUCUUCGGUGGCUGAUUUCGAGUGCGUCGGCUCGAUCUGCAAUGGCUUUCCUCCACUCCAACGCCGUGCGGACGACGCCAUGGAAGGGCCACCAUGACCAGGAGCAGGACGACGCCUUGGAAGGUUCACCGACAGCAGCAGCUACGGUCUGGUCUUCUCCACUGACAGGUAUAUGGACAUGGAGGUCCGCCAUGGAAGGCCUGGAGCUCGUCAUGGAGGGUCCCUCCUCUCUCUUCCCCUCCCUCCACUCUGUUGGUUGGUUGGACGGAAGACCACCACUCGUCCGGCUCUGCUUCUUCCACCGUUGCUCCCCUCCCACCAUUGUGCCAGAGACGCUGUGCCAAGCACGGAAGCUCAUGUGUCGUUUGUCAAGGAAAUCGCUGUGAUUGAUCCCCCGGAGCAUCUUAUCUUUUUGUUGAAUGUGCUUCAGGCAUGAGGCAUGACUUCACAUAUCUAAAUUAGAGAAGAGAAAGAUCCAGAGAUUUUCAUACCUAGAGGAACUCGCCUUCUUGAUGCUCCUUGCUUACAUGAGGUAGUCCUCGGGAAUUUUUCCUCCAGGUCUGGCUAUUUUGAUCCUUUGCUAUAUGUGAUGGGAGAAGGGAGAGCAGGGAGAGGGGAGGGAUAGCAGAGGACGUUAGCAUAGGCAGGCCAUGGGGAGGACAACUGGGCAUCAAAUCAUAGCCUUUUCCAGUUAUAUCAUAUAAUUGCUGUAUGGAGCAGCUAUCCUUCCUUUUUCCAUCAAAAAGAUGUCAAAGAUCAGAACUUACUAAAACAUUAAAUUAUCAUAUUAAUUAAAUGAAGAACUUAUCAUCGCUUAUAUGCCAAUUGCCAAGAUUAGUUACCACAAUAAGAAAUUCACGGCGUACACACUAACAUCUCUACUAUUAAAGUGGUAAUGGUGAACAGAUAACAAAGUUUUUUGUUCACUUAUUUCUCACUGAAAAAUAAUGCUUUGGUCUUUCCUGUUAAUUAUUUGGUCGACAUGCACUUUUUUUCCGGUGCUUAGCUCUUCUUGUAUGCUUUAAUAGUUUGUACAAAUACUAAAUUCCAUAUAUUGGAAGUUAUGUACAGUCUCGAUACACUAUUUGCAGGUCUAACAUCUGGGAGUUCGAACAAGUUGGAUGAAUUUCUCCAUUCCAGUUUCUCUAUGUUGACCCAAUGCCAAAGUAACCAGUAAAUAACUUACGGCGACAGUACAAUACAUAUAUGUACAGGUAUGCUCUUAUUAUUGCUCAUCACAUUCGAUAUCCAGUGUGGAGUUUACUGAAUUUGUGACA